GCUGUCCUUGGGGCUGAGGUAGUAGAUUGAAUAGUUGUGGGGUUGUCUAACCUCUUUUUGAGAUAACUAUACAAUCUACUGUCUUUCCCAAGGAGACAGC
rnacentral:pre_miRNA from 1 species